rnacentral:rRNA from 1 species
UUGCCAGCCCGCUCAGAAACUACAAAGGAAUUGACGGGGCCCGCACAAGCGGAGGAGCAUGUGGUUUAAUUCGAUGAUACGCGAGGAACCUUACCUGGGCUCGAACGUAAGAUGACUGUAGGUGAAAGCUUACAUCUCUUCGGAGCAUUUUACGAGGUGCUGCAUGGUUGUCGUCAGCUCGUGCCGUGAGGUGUCGGGUUAAGUCCCAUAACGAGCGCAACCCCUACCUUUAGUUGCCAUCAGGUUAAGCUGGGGACUCUAAAGGAACUGCCUACGCAAGUAGUGAGGAAGGCGGGGAUGACGUCAAAUCAGCACGGCCCUUACGUCCAGGGCUACACACGUGCUACAAUGGCCGAUACAGAGGGCAGCUACCUGGUGACAGGAUGCAAAUCUCCAAAGUCGGUCUCAGUUCGGAUCGGAGUCUGCAACCCGACUCCGUGAAGUUGGAUUCGCUAGUAAUCGCGCAUCAGCCAUGGCGCGGUGAAUACGUUCCCGGGCCUU